rnacentral:rRNA from 1 species
UUGGACAAUGGGCGCAAGCCUGAUCCAGCAAUGCCGCGUGUGUGAAGAAGGCCUUCGGGUUGUAAAGCACUUUUGUCCGGAAAGAAAUCAUUCUGGCUAAUACCCGGAGUGGAUGACGGUACCGGAAGAAUAAGCACCGGCUAACUACGUGCCAGCAGCCGCGGUAAUACGUAGGGUGCGAGCGUUAAUCGGAAUUACUGGGCGUAAAGCGUGCGCAGGCGGUUUGCUAAGACCGAUGUGAAAUCCCCGGGCUCAACCUGGGAACUGCAUUGGUGACUGGCAGGCUAGAGUAUGGCAGAGGGGGGUAGAAUUCCACGUGUAGCAGUGAAAUGCGUAGAGAUGUGGAGGAAUACCGAUGGCGAAGGCAGCCCCCUGGGCCAAUACUGACGCUCAUGCACGAAAGCGUGGGGAGCAAACAGGAUUAGAUACCCUGGUAGUCCACGCCCUAAACGAUGUCAACUAGUUGUUGGGGAUUCAUUUCCUUAGUAACGUAGCUAACGCGUGAAGUUGACCGCCUGGGGAGUACGGUCGCAAGAUUAAAACUCAAAGGAAUUGACGGGGACCCGCACAAGCGGUGGAUGAUGUGGAUUAAUUCGAUGCAACGCGAAAAACCUUACCUACCCUUGACAUGGUCGGAA